GAUGCCACCUGCACCCCUCAAGGAUGCUCCUCUGGUCCCCAAGACAAGUUCCCAGGCUAGCAGAUAUUUUCUCCUAUCAGUCUUCAGCAGUCAUCUUAUAUCAGGACUUUCUCAUCACAGUCAGGAGCAGUUGCAGAGAUUCUACCUUCCCAGGGCUGCAGGCAGCCACAGCAGGAGCAGAACCACCUUGGUACCAAGGCAGAGAUGUGCAGAGACUCACCCAGCUGUGUGCCAGCCAGCCUGCUGGAUGAAGAGCAGCAGGUGAGCAUUUCCACAACAUAACUUACCUCAAUUCCAGAUAAAACUCCAUCUGCUACUGCCAAGACUGGACCUCAGACACCAGGCUGAACAUAUCCAAACCCAUCUACUGGAGGGCAACAAUGCAAGGACACACGAGGACGUGGUUUAUCCCUGGGGAAAUUCCAGAUUACAGCAUUUAAGAGGUCCCCACUUUGUAGGGGUGCACCAGGUUGGAGAAACACAGCACCCAGGGGGCUCAGCCCUGCUCCUGGCUCAGGCACCUCUCUGGGCUGGGUAACCCUGGAGAACCCAAAGAGGAGUCAAAUCCCUUUGUCAAGACCUUAAUCACUCAAAGCCCUCACAGGAAGCAGGUGAAAGCCAAUGCACUGAGAGGAGAGCUGCAGAGACCCUGGUGAUGGAGCCAAAGGACUGCAUGCUCCCUGUGCAAAGCACUGUUUUAUUCAAUUUUCUCAGCUUCUGCACACAAAACCCUUGGGGGGCUCCAACAUUUUGCAAAACACAUACGUUCUGCCAAAGCUGCUUAAUUUCUGAGAACAGGGAAGGUAAACACUGCAGAUUAUUACUUUUUCUAGCUGGCAGGGACUUGGAGGGAAAUGAAUACAUCACAUUCUCAACAGACAGCACAGUGGACAGCAGGGAAGUGUCACUGCAGGUGUACACCAUCAGCCAGGCUGUCCUCCAUUGGUGGCAGCUGAGCAGAGGAAAGCCACAGCCAGCUUCUCCUGUAGCUUCUUCACCAUAACCAUGGUUCUACAGACAGCAGACAACCCUCCAAGCUGCCUUUUUUUAACCAGAAAUGGACAUCAAAUCAAUAUUUGGGGGUACACACUUUGCUCGUACACACAGUCUGCACCCACAAGAUGUAAAUCCUCUCCCUGCUACCAGAGCUGGCUCACAGGAGAGCCUUGGUGGUGGUGAAUCGAGACUGGAAGGAUCUGGGUGGGCUCCUGCAAGAGGAGCAAGUGCCUCAGGAGUAAGUGCAGGCCAGGGAUGGUGGAGAUGUGCUGGCCAAGCAAGCUCUCCUUGCUUUGUUGGAGCAUCAUGACCAGGAAAGCAUCAUACCUAGCAGCAGGACUGACCAGCACACCCACAUCAGGACUGAAGCACACGAGACCGAGUCUGUUCCAGGAUUCUUCCUCAGGACACGGCUUAUCAGUUCCAGAAGAGGCUUGCAAGCUCAUCACCAAAUGAAGCAGCCAUAGCAGGAGACCUGCAUUCUCAAAGAGACCAGAAAGGGAAAUUUAUCCACAGAUGCUCAGGACCAUGAGCUCAGAUGAAGUACAGGGUUCACAUCACUGCCCCUAGAGGUGCAGAUAACUCGGUCCGUGCACGCAGCUGCUGAACAGGGCUGAAAAUCCUUCCCUUGGCCCCUGGGAAAUGCUGUUUACAUCGCCCUUAUCCUCCUGCAGAAACAAACAAGCACACAGCAGGGCAGGCACAAUGCAUUAUUAACUUCUCCCUCGCUGCAGUGUUAGGAGGAUGCAGAGUGCCAUCAGCCCCUCCCAGAAGCCCUGCCACAGGCUCUGAGCUGAGAGGCCCGAUGACACCAGCACUGCCUGCCGUGUGAACACCAAAAACAGGGCCCCCAGGUGGGUUUGAACCAGGCACUCAGAAGUGUACCUCUCCUGGCAUCAUUACCGUGCUAACCCCAUCAACCCCGCAGCAUCUACAACAAUGCUAGAUGCCAUCAAAGUGUUUCUUACUGAAUAACAGCACUGAGGUCACUUACCCAACUGCAACUUCGUGACGUCCCAAAUAAUCCUCUUCAGUUCAAGCAGGAUUCAUAUUUCUUUUCCCCUCUGAGAAAAAAGGAGAAUAAAACUUGACUCCUUUUAGCCACAUUCCCCCUGCCUUCCUCUGAGCAGUUCAAUCCCACGUUGUACGAGAGAACAUUGAUUUUCUUGGUAGCACAGACCUCAAUGCACAGCCCUGGGUUUGCUUUUCUCCUGUUUUAUUCCCAUCACGGGAAUCUAUUGUUUCCUUACUUUUUGCUUACUUUCAGUCCCAGUUCCAAAACCUGAGCUCUCUUCUCCAAGACAACAUGACAAUAUGUCAAAUCCAUACAUUUUGGAGACCCCGACAUUAUCUGUGCAGCCAUCAAAUUGGAAAAAAAA